AGUGGGAUUUCUGGGUCAAAUGGUAAGUGUAUGUUAGGCUUUAUAAGAAACUGCCAAACUGUUUUUCAGAGUCUCUUUACCACUUUGCGUUCCCACUAGCAAU
rnacentral:pre_miRNA from 1 species